UUCAUGGAGAUACCAUCUAUGCUGACCCCUCCAAAAUGUUUAUCUCUAGUCUAGAUCUCUCUCCAGAACUGCAGACUCCUGCUGCCUCCGGCCCAUCGCCACUUGGAUAAUUGACAGGUGUCUCCACUUGAACAUGUCAAAAACAACACUAAUCUUUCCCCUAGUUCCUCGCCCUACUCUCAGGUGGCCUCAUACCCCCAUCUGCUCACCCAGAAGCCUUGCACUCAGACUUGACUCUGUUCUCACGUGCCACACCCAAUCCGCCAGGAGGUCCUUGGUCCUCCCGGAAUACACCAACAGUGCCUCUUGCUGGUCACUGCGAUCACCUCCCACUCCUGCCCCUGCAUUGUUCCGUGCCCCACAUGGUUUUAUCUCAACAUGCCAGCCAGAGUGUAUCAUCUAUCAUGCCAUGUCACCUUUCAGCCCAUCGCGCUGCAGCAGGUCCCCACAUUACUCAGCGUAAAAGCCCAAGGUCCUUGCCCCAUCCUGCAAAAUCCCAGUGACCCCAUGAUCUCUGGAGCCGUAACUCCUCCGCUCUUCCUCCAGACCACUCCCUCCUGCAGACUCCUGGGCGUGCUCCUGCUGCGAAGCCUUAGUCCUGGCUCCUUCCUUCCUCCUGGAAUGCUGUUGGCUCAGAAAAGAAAGCUCUACAAUGCUCAGAAUCUUUGUUGCGUUCUCUGAAAAAUGCCAGGCUCUGGAAGAGGGCCUGCCUCCCAGCAGGCACAGGGUUUUGCUCUGUUGCCCAGACUGGAGUGCAGUGCCAUGAUCUCAGCUUACUGCAGCCUCCACCUCCCAAGUUCCAGUGAUUCUCCUGCCUCAGCCUCUCGAGUAGCUGGAACUAUAGGUGUGCCCCAUAGUUUUUUUGUAAAAUCACUGUGCCCCACUGAUUUUUUGUAAUUUUAGUAGAGAUGGGGGUUUGCCGUGUUGGCCAGGCUGGUCUCAGACUCCUGACUUCAAGUGAUCCACCCACCUCAGACAUCCAAAGAGCUGGGAUUACAGGCAUGAUCCACUGUGCUGACCACCACAGGUAUUUUCUUAAGUAAAGUUGUCAGUUUUAGUUCUGGGAGAUCCUGGUAAUGUCAUGUUUUGGGGGAUGAAAUAAGAGAGGAAAUGAUGUAGGUUGCUUGCUAAAAUGACCUGUGCAUCUGGACAGAAGAAAAUGCAAGGGAGACAAGCCCCUGUGAGAAGGUGGAGCAUGGAAAGGUACAUGGUGCCUGAGGCAACAGGCUUUGGGGUCUAACUGCCCUAGAGUUAGGUCCAGCUCUGCUUCCCCUUGUGAGAAGUUUUCAGCCUCUCUGAGCCUCAGGUUCCUCUUCUUCAAAACAGGGAUGCUAUGUCAAAGCAUCGCUUUGUGAAACACAAAAACAAUUGAAAUAUGUAUGUAAUGUACUUAGCAUAUGUAUUAUUUGUUCUGCCCUGAACAGGGUGAGUAUAUAAUAAACUGCAGCGAUUCUCAUUCUUUGGGAUUUAAUUCUUUCGGAUUUAAGCCGGCUGCUGGGUUUUGUGCUGUUACUUGAUUGAGAUGUAAUUGACAAAUAGCUAUUUGAUAUAUGAAUGCAUUGUGAAAUGAUUACCACAACCAAGUUAAUUAAUAUGUCCAUCAUCUCACAUAAUUCCUUUAUUUUUGUGGUGAGAAUGCUGAAGAUUACUCUCAGUAAAGUUCAAGUAUAGCACACUCUAACUAAGUUUAGACUCAUAGACAGAUAUCUUCCCAUUUCCCAGAUGCUGGGUUCUUAGAAAACAAUAUAACAAUUUUCACAAGAAAAAAAAGGAAAUUCAGUCCAGGUGUGGUGGCUCGUGCCUAUAAUUCCAGCACUUUGGGAGGCCAAGGUGGGGGGAUCGAUUGAGCCCAGGAGUUUGAGACCAGCCUGGGAAAAAUAGCAAGAUCUCGUCUCUACAAAAAAAAAAAAAAAAACCUACAAAAAUUAGUCAGAUGUGGUUAGCUGGGUGUGGUGACAUGCACCUGUAGUCCCAGCUACUCGGAAGGCUAUAGUGGGAGCUUGAACUCAGGAUUUUGAAGCUGUGGUGAGCCUUCAUCUCAAAACAAAAAUAAAGAAACUCAUUUUCCUUAAGGGUUUGGUUUUGCCUUAAUGAAUGUUACUGGGCUGACGCCCUUUUUGGCCUCAGCCCACCUGUACCCGGGUGAAAUUACAAAAAAAAAAAAAAAGAAGAGAAAUGAAUGUUACUCAAUGUUGUGAAUGUUUAAAAUCAAGUAGGAGUUUCUGUAUGAAACCUCUGCUCAGGGAAGAUACUUUACUGUUCCCACAAAGGUCUGUAGGAACAUGAUAUCAUCUCAAGGCAACACUCCAGCCGAUGUUCUUUCUAGCCAAGUUAUGUUCAUAUAGGACGUGAACUCUUGGCAAUAUUUAUCAAGCCAGUCUUCAGAGGGUUAGUAUCAGGUACUAGAGGUACGAUAAAAUAUAUUUUUUGCUGUUAAAAAGAAUACUAAACUAUACGGUAUAUUCUUAUAACAAGGAAAGGUGUCAAAACAGACCCACGUGAAAGAAACGAAGCACCAGAAUAAUGGCGAAGAUUGUCUCAACAAAUGCGGACUGCUAUAGCUCAUGCCAAUCAUAGCAGAUAGGCCAGGCUUACCUAAGACACUGUUCCUGAAGCCUUUUUCAGAAUCCAAAGCCAGAAUCGGUGUCAUUCCUAGGUACCCCGAAUAAAGAGAAGUUGUCAGUCUCCACUGCACCCAGUGGCUUGCCUUUUGGCUCUCUUAAUGGUAUCUUUUGAUGA